rnacentral:rRNA from 1 species
AACGAACGUUGGCGGCGUACUUAACACAUGCAAGUCGAGCGAGAAGCGGACUUCGGUCCGUGGAGAGCGGCGCACGGGUGAGUAACACGUGAGUAACCUGCCUUGAGGCCUGGGAUAACUCUCCGAAAGGAGGGCUAAUACCGGAUAAGCUCACGGAGACGUUGGUCUCUGUGGGAAAAGCUCCGGCGCCUUGAGAUGGGCUCGCGGUCCAUUAGGUAGUUGGUGGGGUAAUGGCCCACCAAGCCGAAGAUGGAUAGCUGGUCUGAGAGGAUGAUCAGCCACACUGGGACUGAGACACGGCCCAGACUCCUACGGGAGGCAGCAGUGGGGAAUCUUGCGCAAUGGACGAAAGUCUGACGCAGCAACGCCGCGUGGGCGAAGAAGGCCUUC